rnacentral:rRNA from 1 species
GGGGAACGCGAAGAACCUUACUUACCCUUGCCAUCCAGGGAAUCUGUUAGAAAUAGGAGAGUGCCUUCGGGAAGUCUGAGACAGGGUGUGCAAGGGUGUCUGUCAACUCUGGUUGUGAGAAGUUGGGUUAAAUCCCGUAACGAGCGCAACCCUUAUCCUUAGUUGCCAGCGGUUCAGGCUGGGAACUCUAGGGAGACUGCCGGUGAUAAACCGGAGGAAGGUGGGGAUGACGUCAAGUCAUCAUGGCCCUUAUGGGUAGGGCUACACACGUGCUACAAUGGUCGGUACAGAGGGCAGCAAAACCGCGAGGUGGAGCAAAUCCCAAAAAGCCGAUCCUAGUCCGGAUUGCAGUCUGCAACUCGACUGCAUGAAGUCGAAUCGCUUAUAAUCGCGAAUCAGAAUGUCGCGGGUGAAUCCGUUCCCGGGUCUUGUACACACCG